rnacentral:rRNA from 1 species
UACGGGGGGGGCAAGCGUUGUUCGGAAUUACUGGGCGUAAAGGGCGCGUAGGUGGCCAACUAAGUCAGACGUGAAAUCCCUCGGCUUAACCGGGGAACUGCGUCUGAUACUGGAUGGCUUGAGUUUGGGAGAGGGACGCGGAAUUCCAGGUGGUAGCGGUGAAAUGCGUAGAUAUCUGGAGGAACACCGGUGGCGAAGGCGGCGUCCUGGACCAAUACUGACACUGAAACGCGAAAGCCAGGGGAGCAAACGGG